GAUGAAGAACGCAGCGAAAUGCGAUACGUAAUGUGAAUUGCAGAAUUCAGUGAAUCAUCGAAUCUUUGAACGCAUAUUGCGCUCUUUGGUAUUCCGAAGAGCAUGCUUGUUUGAGUAUCAGUAAACACCUCAAAGCUUUUGGAUUUUUUAAUCGAAAAGCUUUGGACUUGAGCAAUCCCAACACCAAUCUUUUUGAGAUCGGUGGCGGGUUGCUUGAAAUGCAGGUGCAGCUGGACAUUCUCCUGAGCUAAAAGCAUAUUCAUUUAGGCCCGUCAAACGGAUUAUUACUUUUGCUGCAGCUAACAUAAAGGGAGUUUGACCGUAUUGGCUGACUGAUGCAGGAUUUCACAAGGGUCGGCAACGAUUCUUGUUAAACUCGAUCUCAAAUCAAGUAAGACUACCCGCUGAACUUAAGCAUAUCAAUAAGCGGAGGA
rnacentral:misc_RNA from 1 species